rnacentral:rRNA from 1 species
GCUGGCGGCUGCCUAACAAUGCAAGUCGAACGCAAGGCUUCGGCCUUGAGUGGCGCACGGGUGAGUAGCGCGUGGGAACCUGCCCUGGAGUGGGGGAUAACCGAGGGAAACUUCGGCUAAUACCGCAUGCGCCCGGAGCAAUCCGGGGAAAGAUUUAUCGCUCUAGGAGGGGCCCGCGUCGGAUUAGCUAGUUGGUGGGGUAACGGCCUACCAAGGCGAUGAUCCGUAGCUGGUCUGAGAGGAUGAUCAGCCACACUGGGACUGAGACACGGCCCAGACUCCUACGGGAGGCAGCAGUGGGGAAUAUUGGACAAUGGGCGAAAGCCUGAUCCAGCAAUGCCGCGUGAGUGAGGAAGGCCUUAGGGUUGUAAAGCUCUUUCGGCGGGGACGAUGAUGACGGUACCCGCAGAAGAAGCCCCGGCUAACUUCGUGCCAGCAGCCGCGGUAAUACGAAGGGGGCGAGCGUUGUUCGGAUUUACUGGGCGUAAAGGGCGCGCAGGCGGUCGUGUUUGUCGAGUGUGAAAGCCCCGGGCUCAACCUGGGAAUUGCGCUCGAAACGGCACGGCUAGAGUUCGGGAGAGGAGAGU